rnacentral:rRNA from 1 species
UACGAAGGGUGCAAGCGUUACUCGGAAUUACUGGGCGUAAAGCGUGCGUAGGCGGUUUGUUAAGUCCGCUGUGAAAGCCCUGGGCUCAACCUGGGAAUUGCAGUGGAUACUGGCAAGCUAGAGUGCGGUAGAGGAUGGUGGAAUUCCCGGUGUAGCGGUGAAAUGCGCAGAUAUCGGGAGGAACACCGGUGGCGAAGGCGGUUCUCUGGGCCUGUACUGACGCUGAGGCGCGACAGCGUGGGGAGCAAACAGG